UACCAAAAAUGGACCAAAAAU
ensembl:piRNA 21ur-11232 ncRNA